rnacentral:rRNA from 1 species
GACGAACCGUCCAAACGUUAUUCGGUAUUACUGGGCUUAAAGGGUGCGUAGGCGGCCUGUUAAGUUGGGUGUGAAAUCCCUCGGCUCAACCGAGGAACUGCGCCCAAAACUAGCAGGCUUGAGGGAGUCAGAGGUGAGCGGAACUCAGGGUGGAGCGGUGAAAUGCGUUGAUAUCCUGGGGAACACCGGUUGCGAAAGCGGCUCACUGGGGCUCUACUGACGCUGAGGCACGAAAGCUAGGGGAGCAAACGGGAUUAGAUACCCCGGUAGUCCUAGCUGUAAACGUUGAGUACUUGGUCGGAGGAUCUUCCAUAGUUCUCCGGCCGUAGCGAAAGUGAUAAGUACUCCGCCUGGGGAGUAUGGUCGCAAGGCUGAA